GGUACUUCCGUCACAGUAGCGGUGCUGCUGCUGGCCGCUGAUAACCGAGUAGCAGAAACUCGUCCCGGCCAUAACUCACCACCGGCGACGGCGGCCCGGGCCACAAAUCAGAAAGAAGCAGGAGGGCUAAGUCGAGUCGGGUUAUUUGUUUUAUUUUUUUUUAAAGCGGCGACCCGUUGCUGUCCAACGAGCGUUCUUAGCUAGCUCGUUGCUCCGCCAUUGUUUCGAGUUAAAACUCGGCGCCGUUUAUUAACGUUGGCUUGUAAGUCUGUCCACGCGUAAUGUAAUGCAGCACGGUGGAUGACUGGUUAUCACAUCUACCUCACAGUUCUGAGGACUGGGGUUCAAAUCCCGGCCCCACCUGUAUGGAGUUUGCAUGUUCUCCCCGUGCCUGCGUGGGAUUUCUCUGGGCACUCCGGUUUCCUCCCACAUCCCACAAACAUGCAUGAGUGAGCUAUAUGUCCCCCAGCCAGGUGCGCAGCAGCAACGUCUACAUUCUCUUCUACGAGCUCUCUAAAAGCAGACGUGUCACCUUGAGACAGCCAGGGGUGACCCAAAAAAAUAAUAAUUACCCAGCAGGAGACGUGAUGGCUGCUGGGUGAGCGCGCCCCCUUGUGGGUAAGAUUGUGACAAACAGGUCAUGUGAUGAUCUGGAAUCCACGAACAGCCACAGUCAGGUUCUUUGUUUUCCUUUGCACUUCAAACGUCGACGACAUCACCAUUUGGAGAGACUGCACAAAAAAAGUCUCAAACUUGACUGCCGUGUUUUAAUUUACUCUAUCAGAGACAAGAGGUUAGGUUGAAUGUACAACACCAAAAGCAGCACAACAGGAAAUAAGGUGCUGAGAGAGUCUGUGUGUGUGUGUGUAUAAAAGUCAUUAGAAGUCAUUGCAAACUUACCUGGCUUUGGUUUUCAUUGAUGAAUACCUUUGCAAAAAUAAAAAAAAUAAAAUAUAUUUAAAAAUAACGCAUAAUCUUAGUCUUUAAAAAAAACAUCCAGUUUGGUUUUUGUUCUUCUUACGUAAUACUACAAGAAACUGACUUGGUGCUUCUUCUUAUUAUUAUUAUAUAUUUUUUAAACUCCUGUCCUGUUUAUGUUCAUGUUCAUGGGUCAGUGUGACCUGAUGCAUGUUUAGCCCCUUAAAAAAAAAGGUUAUUGCAAACGAAAGCUUUAUAAUUAUUUAAAAUAAGGCUAGUAGAAGAAACUGGAAAUCUUUUUUUCAUAAAAGAAAUUAUUUUAUUUUUUUUUACCUUGGAAAUGGAGUGAUUUUAAAAAGAGGUACUUUGGAGUUACAAUAAGGCCAUAAAAGGUUCUAUACUGUAUUUACUUUUUACAUAAAAACAUUUCUAAAAAAAUUACGGGAUUUUUUUUAAAUAAUCUUACAGUCUUAAAAACAUCCAGAUCAUCACACAAC